UACGAAGGGUGCAAGCGUUAAUCGGAAUUACUGGGCGUAAAGCGCGCGUAGGUGGUUCAGCAAGUUGGAUGUGAAAUCCCCGGGCUCAACCUGGGAACUGCAUCCAAAACUACUGAGCGAGAGUACGGUAGAGGGUGGUGGAAGUUCCUGUGUAGCGGUGAAAUGCGGAGAUCGAGGAAGGAAAACCAGUGGCGAAGGCGACCACCUGGAAUGAUACUGACACUGAGGUGCGCAAGCGUGGGGAGCCAACAGGAUUAGAUACCCCCGUAGUCC
rnacentral:rRNA from 1 species